rnacentral:rRNA from 1 species
GACGAACGCUGGCGGCGUGCCUAACACAUGCAAGUGGAGCGACGAACCAGGCUUCGGCCUGGGGCAAAGCCGCGAACGGGUGAGUAACACGUGGGUAACCUGCCCUGAUGAUUGGGACAACCCGAGGAAACUCGGGCUAAUACCAAAUGUGCCCUUCGGCCACAAGGCCGCUGGGGAAAGGAAGCUUCGGCCUCCGCAUCUGGAUGGGCCCGCGGCCCAUUAGCUUGUUGGUGAGGUAACGGCUCACCAAGGCGACGAUGGGUAGGCUGGUCUGAGAGGACGAUCAGCCACACUGGGACUGAGACACGGCCCAGACUCCUACGGGGAGGCAGCAGUGGGGGAAUCUUGCGCAAUGCGCGAAAGCGUGA